CAGUGGUAAUUCUAGAGCUAAUACAUGCUAAAUGCUCCGACUUCGGAAGAAGCGUAUUUAUCAGAUUAAAAACCAGCGCCCUUUGGGCUUCUUGGUGGCUCAUGAUAACUCCACAGAUCGCAUGGCCUAGUGCCGGCGAUGGCUCAUUCAAAUUUCUUCCCUAUCAACUUUCGACGGUAGGGUCUUGGCCUACCGUGGUUGUAACGGGUGACGGAGGGUUAGGGCUCGACCCCGGAGAGGGAGCCUGAGAAACGGCUACCACAUCCAAGGAAGGCAGCAGGCGCGCAAAUUAUCCAAUCCCGACACGGGGAGAUAGUGACAAUAAAUAUCGAUACGGGGCUCUUUUGGGCCCCGUAAUUGGAAUGAGUACAAUUUAAACCUCUUAACGAGGAACAAUUGGAGGGCAAGUCUGGUGCCAGCAGCCGCGGUAAUUCCAGCUCCAAUAGCGUAUAUUAAAGUUGUUGUGGUUAAAAAGCUCGUAGUCGAACCUCGGGCUCGGCCGGCCGGUCCGCCUCACCGCGUGCACUGGCCCGGCCGGGCCCUUCCCUCUGCGGAACCGCAUGCCCUUCACUGGGCGUGUCGGGGAGGCAGGACUUUUACUUUGAAAAAAUUAGAGUGCUCAAGGCAGGCCAAUGCUCGGAUACAUUAGCAUGGAAUAAUGAAAUAGGACGUUCGGUUCUAUUUUGUUGGUUUCUAGGACCGCCGUAAUGAUCAAUAGGGACGGUCGGGGGCAUCAGUAUUCAGCCGCGAGAGGUGAAAUUCUUAGACCGGCUGAAGACUAACUACUGCGAAAGCAUUUGCCAAGGACGUUUUCGCUGAUCAGGAACGAAAGUUAGGGGAUCGAAGACGAUCAGAUACCGUCGUAGUCUUAACCAUAAACGGUGCCGACUGGGGAUCGGGCGCUGUUCCUUUUAGACGCGCUCGGCACCCUUCGAGAAAUCAAAGUGCGUGGGCUCC
rnacentral:rRNA from 1 species